rnacentral:misc_RNA from 1 species
GCGUCAGAUUCGGCGUUGCCGAGAUCGACCCGUGGGGGAUCGGCCGUUGCCUGGAACGCGCCGUUUGUGAAGCUCUGAUUGGAGAACUGCCGCCAUUCGCUCGGCCAAAUUGCCGGGUUCAGAUUCGGAACGUCGCCCGGACCGUCCAUAUCCCAGGCGUUGCCGGCGACCGUCUCGGAAUAUUCCUCGCCGGUCAGCUGGGUCGGGGCGGUGAUAUAGCCGUUAGGCGCAGCGUUGACGACCAGUGCGGCCGAAUAGCCGCUGCGGGCCUGAACCGAGAAGCCGCCGCCGCCGGCGUUGGCCGACUCGACGUAAAAAUACCAGCUACCCGCCGGCAGGAUCGCCGAUUUGAGCGCAUAAGUUCCCGGAUCGGCGCCGUUGGUGAAACGGGCCAGCGGAACGCCGUCGAAGCCGCUGUUGUUGUUGUCGACAUAGACCGUGACCAGCCGGGACGGAUUAAGACCGGAGGAAUUCCAGUUGAUGUUUACAGUCGGAGCCGAACUCGGAUCGACCAGACGGAUCCAGUCGAAAUUGGUGGUUGCUCCCGCGCCGCCUACAGUCGACGGAUCGAUUCGCAGGGCGAGGAUAUUUCCGCUCCAGCUACCCGCGCGCACUUCAAAGCCCGAGGCCAGAUUGGACAUGUCGUAGUUAUAGAUGUUGUAUCCGGAGCGCGGAUAGAAGGUGAAGUUGUGGUAGAAGCCGUCGAUCGUGGCUCCCUGAAGCGAACCGUCGGGCCAAUACUCCGGCUUCGAUUCGUCGUUGCUCCAGUAGAUCGCCUGAGUGCUGCGCGCCGAAUUGUUCAGCUUGAAAGCGAGCUGGGUAUACUUCGUCGAAUCGAUCUUGUGAUUGAUGCCGAAGCGCGGAAGUUCGAGGUCGCCCGGCAGACCUUCGGAAAACAAGCUGCCUUUGAAUCCGGGGAACAACGGGAGCACGUAGCCGCCGGCGACUUCGUUGGUGCCGCUCCAAAUUCCGUUCGCUACUCCGACCGAAGCACCGA